GGGAGAAGGAGGAGAGGCGGGAGGAGAAGGGAGAGGCAGGGAGAAGGAGGAGAGGCGGGAGGAGAAGGGAGAGGCAGGGAGAAGGAGGAGAGGCGGGGGAGAAGGGGGAGAGGCGGGAGGAGAAGGGAGAGGCAGGGAGAAGGAGGAGAGGCGGGAGGAGAAGGGAGAGGCAGGGAGAAGGAGGAGAGGCGGGAGGAGAAGGGAGAAGGGGGAGAGGCCGGAGGAGAAGGGAGAGGCAGGGAGAAGGAGGAGGCAGGGAGAAGGAGGAGAGGCGGGAGGAGAAGGGAGAAGGGGGAGAGGCGGGAGGAGAAGGGAGAGGCAGGGAGAAGGAGGAGAGGCGGGAGGAGAAGGGGGAAGGGGAGAGGCCGGAGGAGAAGGGAGAGGCAGGGAGAAGGAGGAGAGGCGGGAGGAGAAGGGAGAAGGGGGAGAGGCCGGAGGAGAAGGGAGAGGCAGGGAGAAGGAGGAGGCAGGGAGAAGGAGGUGAGGCGGGAGGAGAAGGGAGAAGGGGGAAAGGCGGGAGGAGAAAGGGGAAGGGGAAGAGGCCGGAGGAGAAGGGAGAGGAAGGAAUAGAGGAGGAGGCAGGGGAAGGGGAGGCAGGGAGAAGGGGAGAGGUGGGAGGAGUAGGGGGAGGCAGGGAGAAGGGGGAGGCAGGGAGAAGAGGAGGCAGGGGGAAGGGGAGAGGUGGGGGGAGAAGGGGGAGGCAGGUGAUAGUGGGCUCUACCUGAGCUCAGAGUAAUGGAUCACAGAGAGGUCUAUGGAUGGACAACUAACUGCAGGUUUGACACCGCUGGAAGGAUAACCCACGUAACAUCACCAGCUGGGGUAGUUCAUGACUUUCACAGAGAAUAUGUUCAGGUAGCUGGAGUUAGCUGCUGG
ensembl:lncRNA